UUGAAAAAGCUGAACUUCAAAUCUCAAAACCAUUCUAAAACACUUUUUAAAAUCUCUUGUAAAUCAC
rnacentral:sRNA from 1 species